rnacentral:rRNA from 1 species
GAUCCUGGCUCAGAAUGAACGUUGGCGGCGUGGAUUAGGCAUGCGAGUCGUGCGAGAACCGUAGCAAUACGGGGACAGCGGCGAAGGGAGAGGAACACGUGGAUACCUACCCUCAGGUUCAGGAUAGCUAUGGGAAACUAUAGGUAAUACUGAAUAAUAUCUCCGGAUCAAAGGUGUGAUUCCGCCGGAGGAGGGGUCCGCGUCCUAUUAGCUAGUUGGUGAGGUAAUGGCUCACCAAGGCGAAGAUGGGUACGGGAUGUGAGAACAUGAUCCCGCUCAUUGGGACUGAGACACUGCCCAGACACCUACGGGUGGCUGCAGUCGAGAAUCUUCGGCAAUGGGGGAAACCCUGACCGAGCGACGCCGCGUGUGAGAUGAAGGCCUUCGGGUUGUAAAUCACUGUCGUAGAGGAGGAAGUGUAGGUGGGUUCUCCCACUUAUUUGACCUAUUCUAGGAGGAAGGACGGGCUAAGUUCGUG